rnacentral:tRNA from 1 species
GGACGGUUGGCGCAGUGGCUAGCGCACCUCUUUGACGUAGAGGGGGUCACAAGUUCGAAUCUUGUACCGUCCA